rnacentral:rRNA from 1 species
CCUACGGGGCGCACCAGUGGGGAAUAUUGGACAAUGGGUGGAAGCCUGAUCCAGCAAUGCCGCGUGUGUGAAGAAGGUCUUCGGAUCGUAAAGCACUUUCGACGGGGACGAUGAUGACGGUACCCGUAGAAGAAGCCCCGGCUAACCUCGUGCCAGCAGCCGCGGUAAUACGAAGGGGGCUAGCGUUGCUCGGAAUGACUGGGCGUAGAGGGCGCGUAGGCGGUUUAUGCAGUCAGAUGUGAAAUCCCCGGGCUUAACCUGGGAACUGCAUUUGAGACGCAUAGACUAGAGGUCGAGAGAGGGUUGUGGAAUUCCCAGUGUAGAGGUGAAAUUCGUAGAUAUUGGGAAGAACACCGGUGGCGAAGGCGGCAACCUGGCUCGAUACUGACGCUGAGGCGCGAAAGCGUGGGGAGCAAACAGGAUUAGAUACCCGUGUAGUC